CAAUUUUACAAUUUAGUAGUGUCAAAUUAACCCUGUGGUUAUGACCCGUGUAUAUAGCAUAUUAGUCCUGAAUACAACGUUUGGUGGUGCGCCUGUCAGAUGCGGAACGUACAGAUAAGGUAAUAGGUAACAGGUGAAUAUACUAUUGGUAUCGGUAGCGGACUCGACCCGGAACUUCUUAAUUAUUGGCAAUAUUAAUUACGUGGAAAACAAAAGGGCCUGGAGUGGUGUAAUUUUUAAUCUACACCUUUGUUCUAUAUUAGUUAUAUAUAAAGUUGAAUUCUGUGAUUCGUCGUUUUUACGUGAUGACGGCUGACAAAUUGGACCUCGUAAUUUUAGUAUUAUAGAUACCCCAACGAUGAUUAUGGCCAAGUUUGGUUAAAAGAGGAGAAGAUUUUUGUAAAAGUAAACGCAGGACGACGACGGACGACGACAACGACGGACGCCAAGUGAUGAGAAAAGCUCACUUGGCCUUUCGGCCAG
rnacentral:lncRNA from 1 species